rnacentral:rRNA from 1 species
CCCUAUUAUAAAAGGUGAAUUGAAAUUAGUAUUAGUGAAAUUUAAAGAUGUUGGCGGUUAAUUUUUUUUUAGAGGAGCUUGUUUUGAGAUAGAAUCUACUCUUUAAAUUUUAAAAGUAAAAAACUUAUUCAUCUCCGUUAUCAAAUAAGUUCUAAUAGAAAGAUCUAAAAUAUCAGGUCAAGAUGUAGUAUUUAUUGGAAUAAAUUAGCUACAUUUAUAUUAAUAAAUGGAUAUUUUUGGGAAGGUUCGAAAAUUGAAAUUGAAUUUAAUUGUAAUACUAAUUAGAAAAUUAGUAUGAAUUGAUAAAGUUAGUGUA